GAGUUUGAUCAUGGCUCAGGACGAACGCUGGCGGCGUGCCUAACACAUGCAAGUCGAGCGAGAAAGCCCCUUCGGGGGUGGAAUAGCGGCGGACGGGUGAGUAACACGUGGGUAACCUGCCUCAAAGAGGGGGAUAGCCUCCCGAAAGGGAGAUUAAUACCGCAUAGAAGGUAAAAAUCGCAUGAUAAAUACCUUAAAGGAGUAAUCCGCUUUGAGAUGGGCCCGCGUCGCAUUAGCUAGUUGGAGGGAUAAAAGCCCCCCAAGGCGACGAUGCGUAGCCGACCUGAGAGGGUGAACGGCCACAUUGGAACUGAGAUACGGUCCAGACUCCUACGGGAGGCAGCAGUGGGGAAUAUUGCACAAUGGGGGAAACCCUGAUGCAGCAACGCCGCGUGAGUGAAGAAGGUUUUCGGAUCGUAAAGCUCUGUCAUCCGGGACGAUAAUGACGGUACCGGAAGAGGAAGCCACGGCUAACUACGUGCCAGCAGCCGCGGUAAUAC
rnacentral:rRNA from 1 species